rnacentral:rRNA from 1 species
UUACAAGCUGUGGAAGCACAUUUCUUGUGUGACCGCGUACUUUUUGUAGAACGGGCCAACGAGUUACGUUAAGUAGCAAGGUUAAGCACUUAAGGUGCGGAGCCGUAGCGAAAGCGAGUUUUAACUGGGCGUUCAGUUACUUGACGUAGACCCGAAACCGGGCGACCUACCCAUGAGCAGGAUGAAGCGAAAGUAAAAUUUCGUGGAGGUCCGAACCCACGAGCGUUGAAAAGCUCGGGGAUGACUUGUGG